UGGGGAAUAUUGGACAAUGGGCGAAAGCCUGAUCCAGCCAUGCCGCGUGUGUGAAGAAGGUCUUCGGAUUGUAAAGCACUUUAAGUUGGGAGGAAGGGCAGUUACCUAAUACGUAUCUGUUUUGACGUUACCGACAGAAUAAGCACCGGCUAACUCUGUGCCAGCAGCCGCGGUAAUACAGAGGGUGCAAGCGUUAAUCGGAAUUACUGGGCGUAAAGCGCGCGUAGGUGGUUUGUUAAGUUGGAUGUGAAAUCCCCGGGCUCAACCUGGGAACUGCAUUCAAGACUGACAAGCUAGAGUAUGGUAGAGGGUGGUGGAAUUUCCUGUGUAGCGGUGAAAUGCGUAGAUAUAGGAAGGAACACCAGUGGCGAAGGCGACCACCUGGACUGAUACUGACACUGAGGUGCGAAAGCGUGGGGAGCAAACAGGAUUAGAUACCCCAGUAGUCCCUGAGCGGGCUGGCAAGGCGCAU
rnacentral:rRNA from 1 species